UACAGAGGUCUCAAGCGUUGUUCGGAUUCAUUGGGCGUAAAGGGUGCGUAGGCGGCUUCUUAAGUCUGACGUGAAAGCCCAGGGCUUAGCCUUGGAAGUGCGCCAGAAACUGGGAAGCUAGAGUGCCGGAGGGGAGAGUGGAAUUCCUGGUGUAGCGGUGAAAUGCGUAGAUAUCUGGAGGAACACCGGUGGCGAAGGCG
rnacentral:rRNA from 1 species